CCAGGUUUGUCUGCUUGUCACUGAGUUGUCUAAAAUGUCAGCCAUUGUUCGUUGUCAGCUGUUGUUCGUACUGCUUUUGAUUUGUUUGUCUAAAGGCUUUCGAGUUGUUCAUAGGAGUAAGGUUAAAUGAUAAAAGAGGACAUCAUAGGAGCUGAAAAGCGUGGAUCCAUUUCUGUGUGUCUGUCAGCUGUGUGUGUAAGCUUCUGCCGCUGAGCAGACGUUAUGUGUUUAAAUGUACUAUUUUAUGUUUAUCUCAAUGUGUUUUAAAACCAUGGUCAAGAUUGGGAAAUUAUAAUCUGUGGGAGGUUUUUGAUUUUGUCUGCUGUGUUUGAUUUCCUCGCCGCCGUGCGAGCAAAAAUAAUAAAAAAAAGAGAAAAAAAGAGAGAGGAAGAAGAGGUGAUUUUUAAAAAAAACUGUAAGAAAAGAGGUGACUUUUGAGCCUAAAUUUUAGCCUAAACAGAUGGAGGGUGAACUUGAAAAGGGAAAAUAUGAUCCAAAGUGGGGCAUCGGGCCAUGGAUUGCGCUCGGUGAGUAAAUAGAAGCAUUAAUAACUUAUUUGGCAAAGCAUGAUGAAUAUCAAAAUAAGGGAGAAAGAGAAAAACUAAA